rnacentral:rRNA from 1 species
GUCGAACGGAGCUUAAAGGAGCUUGCUUUUUUAAGCUUAGUGGCGGACGGGUGAGUAACACGUGAGCAACCUGCCUUUCAGAGGGGGAUAACGUUUGGAAACGAACGCUAAUACCGCAUAACAUUGCUUUAAGGCAUCUUAAGGCAAUCAAAGGAGCAAUCCGCUGAAAGAUGGGCUCGCGUCCGAUUAGAUAGUUGGCGAGGGUAACGGCCCACCAAGUCGACGAUCGGUAGCCGGACUGAGAGGUUGAACGGCCACAUUGGGACUGAGACACGGCCCAGACUCCUACGGGAGGCAGCAGUGGGGAAUAUUGCACAAUGGGGGAAACCCUGAUGCAGCGACGCCGCGUGAGGGAAGAAGGUUUUCGGAUUGUAAACCUCUGUCUUUGGUGACGAAAGAUGACGGUAGCCAAAGAGGAAGCUACGGCUAACUACGUGCCAGCAGCCGCGGUAAUACGUAGGUGGCAAGCGUUGUCCGGAAUUACUGGGUGUAAAGGGAGCGUAGGCGGGAAGACAAGUUGAAUGUUUAAACUAUCGGCUCAACCGAUAAUCGCGUUCAAAACUGUUUUUCUUGAGUGAAGUAGAGGCAGGCGGAAUUCCUAGUGUAGCGGUGAAAUGCGUAGAUAUUAGGAGGAACACCAGUGGCGAAGGCGGCCUGCUGGGCUUUAACUGACGCUGAGGCUCGAAAGCGUGGGUAGCAAACAGGAUUAGAUACCCUGGUAGUCCACGCUGUAAAC